rnacentral:rRNA from 1 species
AUGCUUUCUCAGUCUCUGCUCGCGCUUGGUUUGCUCCUCCUGCUGAGCCUGAGCCUCGACGGAGAGGUGGCUCUAGCGGCGGAAGACGGCGAGUUCGCCUACCAAGGCUUCGCCACAGCGAACCUUACGCUGGAUGGCCUCGCCACCGUCAUGCCCAACGGCCUCCUGCUGCUCACCGACACGGAGUCCGCGAACACGGGCCAUGCCUUCCACCCCGCGCCACUCCAGUUCCUCGAAAGUUCCACCACGACGACGAAUAGCACCACCAUGGCGCGGUCCUUCUCCGUGACCUUCGUGUUUGCCAUUUCGUCCAGGUAUGAUGGCCUGACCAGCUACGGGCUUGGGUUCGUGGUCGCUCCGACCUCGAACCUCUCGGCUGCGAACGGCGGGCGAUACAUGGGCCUCCUCAACGCGACAAACGGCACGGCGAGCGACCGCAUCCUGGCGGUCGAGCUCGACACCAUCAUGGACGUCGCGUUCCGCGACAUCGACAGCAACCACGUCGGCAUCGACGUCAACAGCCUCGUCUCACGGCAGGCCAAGCCGGCUGGGUACUACAGCAACGAGAACGGCGCCUUCCAAGAUCUGAGGUUGAACAGCCGCAGGCCGAUGCAGGUGUGGGUGGACUACGACGCCCAAGCCAGGUGAAUCAAUGUGACAUUAGCACCUGUGCAGGUACCAAGGCCCAGGAAUCCUCUGCUCUCCGAGGUUAUUGAUCUCUCCACGGUCAUGGUGGACGAAAUGUACGUCGGCUUUUCUGCUUCUAGCGGUACUCUCGGUGACAAUCACCACUCUGUCCUUGGAUGGAGUUUCAGCUUCGACGGACCCGCCCCGACGCUUGACUUCUUCAAGCUUCCCGCCCUGCCACGCCUAGGUCCCAAGCCUCGGUCCAAGAUCUUGAACAUCGUGUUGCCACCAACUUGGGUAUCGCUUGUCAUUGCCGUGCUAGCUGCCGUAUUCUUCUUCUUGUGGCAUCGGCGCUGAUUUGCUGAGGUGAGAGAAGACUGGGAGGAUGAGUUCGGCCCACAUCGUUUUGCAUACAAGGAUUUAUUUCAUGCCACCGAGGGGUUUUCUAGUAGGAAUUUACUUGGAGUGGGAGGAUUUGGAAGAGUGUGCAGAGGAUUGCUUUCCACAUCCAAUUUGGAGGUUGCCGUCAAGAGGGUGUCACAUGAUUCGAAACAAGGGCUAAGGGAGUUCAUUGCGGAGGUGGUGAGCAUUGGCCGUCUCCACCACCGGAAUCUCGCCCGGUUACUAGGCUACUGCCGUCGAAAGGGUGAACUUCUCUUGGUUUAUGAGUACAUGGAAAAUGGUAGUCUUGACAAGUAUUUGUAUACUCAAAAUAAGCCGGCUCUACAUUGGUCUGAGAGGUAUCGGAUCAUCAAAGGUGUUGCAUCAAGCUUGUUGUAUCUUCAUGAGGAAUGGGAGCAAAUUGUCAUCCAUCGAGAUAUAAAGGCUAGCAAUGUGCUCUUGGACAGCCAGAUGAAUGGACGGCUCGGUGAUUUUGGUCUAGCAAGGUUAUACGACCAUGACACAGUUUCUAAAACAACACAUGUGGUGGGCACUAUGGGGUACCUUGCACCGGAACUUAUACGCACCGGGAAGGCAACACCCUUAACCGAUGUGUUUGCAUUUGGUGUGUUUCUCCUUGAGGUCGCAUGUGGGCGUAGGCCAAUCAAAGAGAACACACAAACAAUGUUGAUCGAAUGGGUGCUUGAACACCACCGCAAUGGAUCAUUUAUUGAUGUGGCAGAUCCAUGGCUCAUGGGCAAUUUCAACAUAGAGGAAGCCACCCUCGUGCUCAACUUAGGAUUAUUGUGCUCCCACCCAUCAUCAAGUGCAAGGCCUAGCAUGCGAAAGGUCGUGCAAUACCUGGACCGUGGUCAGUCAAUUCCUGACCUGUCUCCAACCUAUGUGAGUUACAACAUGAUAGCGAUGAUGCAUAAAGAAGGGUCUGAUUCAUACAAAAUGGCGUGCACUUUGUCGAAUACUAGCAUUUGCUUUGUAUCUGAAUGUAUAAAGGGUAGUAUAGACUUUUCACAAAUUGUACUCACUUUUCUAUGUAUACAAUGUGUGGCCUUGGCGGCGGAAGACGGCCGGUUCGCCUACCAAGGCUUCGCCACCGCGAACCUCACGCUGGAUGGCGUCGCCGCCGUCACGCCCAACGGCCUCCUGCUGCUCACCGACACGGAGUACCAGACAACAGGCCAUGCCUUCCACCCCGCACCACUCCGCUCCACCGCGACGGCGAACAGCGCCGCCAAUGCGCGGUCCUUCUCCGCGUCCUUCGUGUUCGCCAUUAGCUCCAGAUACGAUGGCCUGACCAGCUACGGGCUUGCGUUCGUCGUCGCGCCGACCUCGAACCUCUCAGCUGCCGAGAGCGGGCGGUACCUGGGCCUCCUCAACGGGACAAACGGCACGGCCAGCGAUCCCAUCUUGGCGGUCGAGCUCGACACCAUCAUGGACGUCGAGUUCCGCGACAUCAACAGCAACCACGUCUGCAUCGGCGUCAACAGCCUCAUCUCACGGCAGGCCAAGCUGGCUGGGUACUGCAGCGACGAGAACGGCACCUUUCAAGAGCUGAGGCUGAACAGCCGCCAACCGAUGCAGGUGUGGGUAGACUAUGAUGCACAGGCCAGACGACUCAACGUGACAUUAGCGUCCGUGCAUGUACCAAGGCCCAAGAUUCCUCUACUCUCCGAAGUCAUUGAUCUCUCCACAGUCAUGGCAGACAAGAUGUACGUUGACUUUUCAGCUUCCGGAGGUUGGGGCGUAGGCACACACCACUAUGUCCUUGGAUGGAGCUUCAGCUUGGAUGGACCCACCCCGCUGCUAGACUUCUCCACGCUUCCUGUCCUACCACGCCUGGGUCCCAAACCUCAGUCAAAGAUCUUGGAUGUCGUGCUGCCACUGGCCGCGGCAUUGCUUGUCAUUGCAAUGCUAGCUAUCAUCUUCUUCUUCUUGUGGCAUCGUCGUCGAUUUGCUGAGGUACGAGAAGAUUGGGAGGACGAGUUCGGCCCACAUUGUUUCGCGUACAAGGAUCUAUUUCAUGCCACUGAGGGGUUUUUUGGUACGAAUUUACUUGGUGUGGGAGGAUUUGGAAGAGUGUACAGAGGAGUGCUUUUUUCGUCCAACUUGAAGGUUGCGGUGAAGAGAGUGUCACAUGAUUCGAAACAAGGAAUAAGGGAGUUCAUUGCUGAGGUGGUGAGCAUUGGUCGUCUCCGCCACCAGAAUCUUGCGCGGUUACUAGGCUAUUGCCGGCGAAAGGGUGAACUUUUCUUGGUUUAUGACUACAUGGAAAAUGGUAGUCUUGACAAAUACUUGUACAAUGGAAACAAGCCAACUCUACAAUGGUCCGAGAGGUAUCGGAUCAUCAAAGUCACUCUCGUGCUCCUACCCAUCAUCCAGUGCAAGGCCUAG